UACAGAGGGGGCGAGCGUUGUUCGGAAUUACUGGGCGUAAAGGGCGCGUAGGCGGCCCGCUAAGUCGAACGUGAAAUCCCCAGGCUCAACUUGGGAACUGCGUCUGAUACUGGAUGGCUUGAAUUCGGGAGAGGGAUGCAGAAUUCCAGGUGUAGCGGUGAAAUGCGUAGAUAUCUGGAGGAAUACCGGUGGCGAAGGCGGCAUCCUGGACCGAGAUUGACACUGAUGAGCGAAAGCUAGGGGAGCAAACGGG
rnacentral:rRNA from 1 species